rnacentral:rRNA from 1 species
GACGAACGCUGGCGGCGUGCUUAACACAUGCAAGUCGAACGGAAAGGCCCUGCUUUUGUGGGGUGCUCGAGUGGCGAACGGGUGAGUAACACGUGAGUAACCUGCCCUUGACUUUGGGAUAACUUCAGGAAACUGGGGCUAAUACCGGAUAGGAGCUCCUGCUGCAUGGUGGGGGUUGGAAAGUUUCGGCGGUUGGGGAUGGACUCGCGGCUUAUCAGCUUGUUGGUGGGGUAGUGGCUUACCAAGGCUUUGACGGGUAGCCGGCCUGAGUGGGUGACCGGCCACAUUGGGACUGAGAUACGGCCCAGACUCCUACAGGAGGCAGCAGUGGGGAAUAUUGUACAAUGGGCGGAAGCCUGAUGCAGCAACGCCGCGUGCGGGAUGACGGCCUUCGGGUUGUAAACCGCUUUCGCCUGUGACGAAGCGUGAGUGACGGUAAUGGGUAAAGAAGCACCGGCUAACUACGUG